rnacentral:lncRNA from 10 species
AACAUACAGUCCUCAGCAGCUUUAGCAUGGGCAACAAAUUAAGUCUCUGUAAAAGGCCCAAAGGACAGGGUUUGGUGAGAUUCUGGAGAGCUGGAAACAUGGAGGUUGACAGGAAUGUAAAGAAGAACUCAUUUACAUGCCAGGAGGGUGGAACACCCCAAUUCCAUGAGGAUAACUGCUCCUGUACUCCAGACCUCACCCCAUGUGUCUCUUCAUCUGGCUGGUUAUUUGUCCUUUAAGAUCUCCUUACUCAACCAGUAAAUGUGUCUUUACAUUGUUUUAGUCUUGAACUAGAAGAUGAAAGCAUCAAAUAAAGAAAUAUACUGUGGGUAUAUGGAUUACAAAAAAAGUGCUGGAUGUUCCAUGCCCUCAAACAUUGGACUCCAAGCUCUUCAGCUUUGGGACUUCAACUGGCUUCCUUGCUCCUCGGCUUACAGAUGGCCUAUUGUGGGACCCUGUGAUCGUGUGAGUUAAUAUGCCUUAAUAAACUCACCUUUAUACAUACAUCAAUCCUAUUAGUUCUGUCCCUCUAGAGAACUGUGACUAAUACAGAUUUUGGUACCAGGAGUGGUUCUAGAGGAAAAGAAUAUUAAAAAUGGAGUUCUUUUGUUGGUUUUCAGGUUUCUGGAGUUGGCUUCUUAAAGUGAUUAGCCAUAAAAAUGCUAAGGACUCUAAUUCUAAUAGUAUGGAGAACAGACAGUCCUUGGUGUGAACAAUUUAGAGAGUUAUUAUGCAAAAUAAAUGCAUUUGAUACUCUUGAUUCACCGCUCAUGAAAGGCAAGGAGUUUAGUGACUCAAUACCUAAUACCUUUGACCAUAUGUGGAGAACCAAGGAACAUAAUGAAGUUGGUUGGUUGCUCCUAAGUUCACUGGACAGAGUGAUGAAAAAAAACGAACUCAGGGAUUCUAACUAACUCCUGGCUUCAGAAGCAGAUACUGAGCCUCAAAUCUGCUAAGAUUGCCCUGAGUGAGUCUUAUCUCCUGCAGAGAAAGAGCUGAAAUUGUGGAAAAUCAGACACAGGCUAUUACCAUGUGAGUGGUUGACCUGCAACAAAAGGUGCACGCACAGCCUCGCCAGGUGUCUACUAUUAAAGUGAGAGCAUUGAUUGGAAAACAAUGGGACCUUGCAACUUGGAAUGGGGAUAUGUGAGAGGACUUUGAUGAAGCUGGGGACAUUGAGCUUGUAAACUCUGAUGAACCUUUUC